rnacentral:lncRNA from 1 species
AUGAAGGCAGAGGCGAUGCAACCGAGAAAAAGAGAAAUGUGCAUAAGUAGCUCUCUUCAGCAUUCAUGGAGCGCACACACACAGUGGGAAGAGUUUGAGACUAGCUCCUGCUGGCUGGGAUUUGAGUCAACUGGUCUGCCUGGGAUAGACACCAUCGAGCCACGAGACCACCAUCAUCCUGUAGUAACAAUAGGAAGAAUGAAGAAUGGCCUUCAUUUUCAAUUCAUUUAUGAAUGUGUGGAACAAACAAGACAAGAUAAGCUUUACACGGCGGGGGGGGAGGGGCAUGAGAGAGUUACCAACACUUUCCAUUUUUGCUCAUAAUCAUUUAAAAACUGAAUAAAUCUGAAUGUGACUUACA